UGCUGGUACCUCGUUUUUAUCAAGCUCUGAAGACAUGCACAAGAAUAGUUUUGUUAGAUCCGUCGAUGAUGUAAACAACAUAUUUCAAGAUAUGAUGGUUAGAGUGCAGCUUUCAGAUAAUUUUCUUCCCUCGGGAUAUUUGAAGAUUGUUUGUUACCCAUCAAGUUCAGGAAAACCAAGGGUAUCAUAUGAAUUGGAUUACGUAAAAGACACGGAGAUAAAAGGUACGUGG